rnacentral:misc_RNA from 1 species
AACGCACAUUGCGCCCGCCAGCACUCUGGCGGGCAUGCCUGUCCGAGCGUCAUUUCAACCCUCAAGCACUGCUUGGCGUUGGGGCACUACGCGCUGAGCGUAGGCCCCUAAAAUCAGUGGCGGGCCCGCCGUGGCUCCGGGCGUAGUAGCAACACUCGCCUCGGGACUGCGGCGCGCUCCGGCCGUUAAACCCCCCACUAUACAGAAGGUUGACCUCGGAUCAGGUAGGAAUACCCGCUGAACUUAA